GGAGUGGACAUUGUGUUUUGAGGCCAUGGAAAUGAACCUGGAGGAUCAGAAUAAAGAUUCUUACCAUAAAGGUUAAUAUCAAGAGCUUAACUAUAAUUUAGCAAGUCUCUUUGUAAUUAAAAUGAGAUUUUGAGAAGUGGAACAUGAUUGACCCUUUGCCAUUACCUGGAAAACAGGUCAUAACGAGUCAAAUUACACUCACCUUUCUAAAAACGUGGAACGCAAGAGGUGAAUGGAUGCCAUCGAAGUCGCACGCGAAAAGAGGUAAAUGGAUGCCAUCGAAGUCGCACGCGACAAGAGGUAAAUGGAUGUCAUCGAACUCGCACGCGACAAGAGGUGAAUGGUUUUCUAUUUUCAAGCAGGCAUGUAGACAGGAUUUGCGCAAUUAUAGAUAUUAUAUGGAAUUAAAGUAUAUUUGACGAUAAAUCUUAAUAGUAAACGGACCACUGGGUCGUUCAAAAAACAUACUCGCCCCUUAAGCACCUUAUAAUUUGCAUUAUUUCUCGUUAGCUUUUUGUAGAUAAGAAAAACAUAUAUUGGAAAUAUUUAGGUAUUGAUACUGUAUAGAGUAGUAGCUUAAAAUAAUGAAAUUAUAAAGAAUGAUGAAAAGAAAUGCUAUUGAUUUCUCCAAAAAAUUCAUUAAUACAAGCCACUUUCUUACAAAAUUCGUAAUAAAAAUCUAUGUGGCCUUUGUAAGAGUUUUGAGCUAGACAGAAUUGAUUAAACAACGUUUGUAAUUGA